UAUAGAGGUCCCAAGCGUUGUUCGGAUUCACUGGGCGUAAAGGGUGCGUAGGUGGUCGGGUAAGUCUGAUGUGAAAGCUCUGGGCUCAACCCAGAAAUGGCAUUGGAUACUAUCUGGCUAGAGGAAUGGAGGGGGGACUGGAAUACUUGGUGUAGCAGUGAAAUGCGUAGAUAUCAAGUGGAACACCAGUGGCGAAGGCGAGUCCCUGGACAUUUCCUGACACUGAGGCACGAAAGCUAGGGGAGCAAACAGG
rnacentral:rRNA from 1 species